rnacentral:tRNA from 1 species
GGUCUUAUAGUCAAUUAUAUGAUAUUAGAUUGCAAAUCUAAAGUAGUAGAAUAAUACUAAGACCU